AUGACGAGAGCUUGCACCUUCGUCGAGGAGGCGGACGCUCGAUACAUAACAAACUCCGGGAUGAUGAUGCAGCUCAAGAUGCUCUCGGAGGCCAUGUACCGGGGUCAUAGCCUCCUUGAUACCUUGAGGUGCCGAGCCCUCCAAUACGGUGCAGGCUUCGACGAGGUUAGCAACAGCAACUCAUCUAGCAGCAGUUUGUACUUAGCAAGUCCACUCAAGCGUUCUCGAACAACAGCAGAGGAAGGCAACAAGGCCAUGGGCCUGGACUCACAUGGUGCUUUGGAAAGCUUAGAAAUUGCUAUUACAAACAUUUCAGAGUUUGUUGUGCUCCUGGCUGGAUGUGAGCGCAUGUCCCGUAGGCCAUAUGAUGUUUAUUUUUACACCGACAACUUCAUGUUUAGCCAACACGCUGAAAAGCAAAAGCUUUUGAGCUUCUUGUUGGAGGACAAUGAUCCUUCAAGUGAUCAUGCCUUAGCCAUUCUUCCACUCAUAGGUGGUGCCGCAGUUGGGAAGAAAACUUUGGUUGCUCAGUUGUGUGGCGAUGAAAGUGUUCGCUCGCGCUUCUCCUCUAUUUUGCACUUGAAUCGGGACAAACUUUUGGGAUACUUGACGAUGGAAGGGCCAUGUGUGGUAGAAUAUUGUUAG
rnacentral:rRNA from 1 species